AUUAUUAACACACGCUUUAAAAAAAUAUGAUAGAGUAUAAUUUAAAAUUUGUAUCACUAGCAGCGGCUUACUUCAAUUUGAUAGUCGCCCUUAUUGGAAUCGGAAUCUCAAUUGGGGAAAUAAAAAAUGUUAUUGGAUGGUUGGUUUCCAUAGUUGGCUAUUUUUAUAUUCGAUCAUGUUGAUUAGUGUCUCAGUUACAUUAGUUAUUGGAAUUAAAAAGAAUGAGUUGAAGGUUCUGACACCCUUUGUCUUUUUUACCAUGUCUAUAUAUUUUGUUCAUGGUUUCUUGAUAAUUGUCAAUUUUAUUUCGGGCUUAAUUCUUCUAACGUUUGUUUCGCCGUAUCUCAUUUUGCUAUUGUUUGUGUCAAUAGUUGUUCUCCAAGUUCAAAUACUGUGGCCAAUGUGGAAUUUAUAUAGACAUCGUAAUUCAGAAAGCGAAACACCAAUAUCUAGCGCCAUUUACCUCCAGUAAGAAUAAAAAAACAGCCAUAUUUUGUUUGUAUGCCCGAGGUCUGUUCAAUAGAAACAAGAAUAUAUGUUAUGAAUGAAACAUAAAUUAUAACCAUUUACUAAUAAUGUUUAAUAAUAAUUUUUAUAAAUUGUUUUUUGAGCUAA